rnacentral:rRNA from 1 species
UAAUACGGAGGGUGCAAGCAUUGAUCGGAAUUACUGGGCGUAAAGGGCGCGUAGGCGGUUAAGAAAGUCAGAUGUGAAAUUCCGGGGCUCAACCCCGGAGCUGCAUUUGAAACUUCUUAGCUAGAGUUCAGUUAGGGUAAACGGAAUUCCACGUGUAGCGGUGAAAUGCGUAGAUAUGUGGAAGAACACCGGUGGUGAAGACGGUUUACUGGGCUGAUACUGACGCUGAGGCGCGAAAGCAUGGGGAGCAAACAGG